rnacentral:rRNA from 1 species
UAGUAACGGCGAGUGAAGCGGGAUGAGCUCAAAUUUGAAAUCUGGCUGGUUUACUAGUCCGAGUUGUAAUUUAAAGAAGCGUUUUCGGUGGCAGCCUGGGUAUAAAUCCUUUGGAAUAGGGUAUCAUAGAGGGUGAGAAUCCCGUCUUUGACCUAGUGCAUGCUACUAUGUGAUACGUUUUCAAAGAGUCGAGUUGUUUGGGAAUGCAGCUCAAAAUGGGUGGUAAAUUUCAUCUAAAGCUAAAUAUUGGCGAGAGACCGAUAGCGAACAAGUACCGUGAGGGAAAGAUGAAAAGAACUUUGAAAAGAGAGUUAAACAGUGCGUGAAAUUGUUGAAAGGGAAACGCUUGACACCAGUCAUGUGGGUGGAAAAUCAGUCUUUUGCAUUGGGGAGUUGUAAGGGUUCGGACCGCAWGGCCGGCUUUUGCUUCAUCUUUGGUGUAAGUGAUGCACUUUUUCAUCUACAGGUCAACAUCAGUUUCUUUUACUGGACAAAACUCCGAGAGAAGGUAGCAGCUUAGGCUGUGUUAUAGCUCUGGAGCGAUACAGUGAAGGGGACUGAGGUUUUCGCAGCGUGUGCUCUCGGGCAAGGCUGGAUGGGUGCUAUGGAAUCGUUCGGGGUACAAUGCCUGGCAUUUUGCUUCGUGUCUUUUCUAUACUCGCUCAACUCARCUCUUCCACGCUUAGGAUGUUGACUUAAUGGUUUUAAUCGACCCGUCUUGAAACACGGACCAAGGAGUCUAACAUAUAUGCAAGUGUUUGGGUGGCAAACCCAUGCGCGUAAUGAAAGUGAACGUAGGUGCGAUCCGCAAGGUGCAGCAUCGACCGAUCUUGAUAUUUGUGGAUAGAUUUGAGUAAAGAGCAUAUAUGCUGGGACCCGAAAGAUGGUGAACUAUGCCUGAAUAGGGUGAAGCCAGAGGAAACUCUGGUGGAGGCUCGUAGCGAUUCUGACGUGCAAAUCGAUCGUCAAAUUUGGGUAUAGGGGCGAAAGACUAAUCGAA